rnacentral:misc_RNA from 1 species
GAAAUGCGAUAAGUAAUGUGAAUUGCAGAAUUCAGUGAAUCAUCGAAUCUGUGAACGCACCUUGCGCUCCUUGGUAUUCCUUGGAGCAUGCCUGUUUGAGUAUCAUGAAAUCUUCAAAGUAAAUCUUUUGUUAACUCAAUUGGUUUCUACUUUGGUAUUGGAGGUCUUUGCAGCUUCACACCUGCUCCUCUUUGUUCAUUAGCUGGAUCUCAGUGUUAUGCUUGGUUCCACUCGGCGUGAUAAGUUAUCUAUCGCUGAGGACACUGUAAAAGGUGGCCAAGGUAAAUGCAGAUGAACCGCUUCUAAUAGUCCAUUGACUUGGACAAUACUUUUAUGAUCUGAUCUCAAAUCAGGUAGGACUACCCGCUGAACUUAAGC